AACUAAUGAACGCAUCUAUCUGAAAUUUUAACAGUAGCGCUGUGAAGGAUCAAACUUGUCUAAAAUUAUAGCAGGUAUAUUUGAUAUUU